AACGAACGCUGGCGGCAUGCCUAACACAUGCAAGUCGAACGAGACCUUCGGGUCUAGUGGCGCACGGGUGCGUAACGCGUGGGAACCUGCCCUUAGGUUCGGAAUAACUCCCCGAAAGGGGUGCUAAUACCGGAUAAUGUCUUCGGACCAAAGAUUUAUCGCCCUUGGAUGGGCCCGCGUUGGAUUAGCUAGUUGGUAGGGUAAAAGCCUACCAAGGCGACGAUCCAUAGCUGGUCUGAGAGGAUGAGCAGCCACACUGGGACUGAGACACGGGGCAGACGUGGACAGUAGUGAGCAAUGGGGGAAAGUGUAAUACAGGCGAAAGGCGUGACCAGUGAUGCCCUGUGAGUGGUGAAGGUCUUAGGGUUAUAAUGAAGCCGCAACAGUGGUUGUAGUGAGGGUAGCGGGAAAAGAAGCGCCGGCUAACUACGUG
rnacentral:rRNA from 1 species